GAAAAUGGUUGAACUGAAAAAAAAAAAAAUCCUUUUGUUAGGGUUUCCGAGAAAAGGGUUUCAGUUGCAUAGAGCUAAUCUCAGCUAACAAUUGAAUAAAGCGCAAGAGAUGCAUGAUUGUGGGGAUCAGGAGUUGUGAUGAAAAACAGCAUAGAUGAUUAAGACUGAGCUUUGUGGUGAUGAGGAUUGACGAGAGCAUUCUCUAAGUGUAGGCAAGAAUGGGGUGGCUUAGUUGGGGUUUGAAGAGGCAUGGUCUAUCCCUAUCCUUUUGGGUUAGUGGUAGUCUCCCUACUCAAGCAUAUGCAAUGGUCCCCAAAAAAUCAAAAUGAGGACAAGAGAAAGAGAUGAUUGAUCUUUAGAUCAACUUGUUUCGUGCGACAUCUUUUGGUGUCUAACCCCGACACUACCGAUGGUCCCCAACAAGCUUUUGAUUUUCUCAUCACUUUGAAGCUUCUUUUAAUGACUUUUUAAACUUGUUAAUCAGACAUUUAUUUGGUCGCAAUUCUUGGUGGACUCCAACUUAUUUACUCUUCCUCCCU
rnacentral:misc_RNA from 1 species